UACGGAGGGUGCAAGCGUUAUCCGGAUUUACUGGGUUUAAAGGGUGCGUAGGUGGGUCUGUAAGCCAGAUGUGAAAUCCCCGGGCUCAACCUGGGAAUGGCAUUUGGGACUGCAAGGCUGGAGUGUGGCAGAGGAGACUGGAAUUCCUGGUGUAGCAGUGAAAUGCGUAGAUAUCGGGAGGAACACCUGUGGCGAAGGCGGCCCCCUGGUUGGAUACUGACGCUGAUACGCGAAAGCGUGGGGAGCAAACAGG
rnacentral:rRNA from 1 species